CUGUUACAUUAUUGAGUAUCCACAUUCUGCAUGAGAAAACCAAUGACGAGAUCCAAUUUCUUUACUGUGAUUUGCAUAGGACAUGUGGUGGGGUUAAUCUAUUUUGGGUGCAUAAGACCCCUCCUCCGUCUUGAAAUCGAUCUGUAGACUAGCGAGAUUGUGGACAAAUAAAACAUACUAUAUAACAUGUGUACGGCAAAGCACUACGACUUAAUAAUAAAGGUAUAUUAUAGUGGAUAAAGCACAAUUACAAACACAUUAAAAUCACAAUUCAUCCAUAUCAUAGAAUUAUCACAAUUUGUAUAAGCUAGCUUAAUGUCAGCCUUCCGAAUUUCUGAG
rnacentral:lncRNA from 1 species